rnacentral:rRNA from 1 species
AUGAACGCUGGCGGCGUGCUUAACACAUGCAAGUCGAGCGAAGCGCUUAAGUUUGAUUCUUCGGAUGAAGACUUUUGUGACUGAGCGGCGGACGGGUGAGUAACGCGUGGGUAACCUGCCUCAUACAGGGGGAUAACAGUUAGAAAUGACUGCUAAUACCGCAUAAGACCACGGUACCGCAUGGUACAGUGGUAAAAACUCCGGUGGUAUGAGAUGGACCCGCGUCUGAUUAGGUAGUUGGUGGGGUAACGGCCUACCAAGCCGACGAUCAGUAGCCGACCUGAGAGGGUGACCGGCCACAUUGGGACUGAGACACGGCCCAGACUCCUACGGGAGGCAGCAGUGGGGAAUAUUGCACAAUGGAGGAAACUCUGAUGCAGCGACGCCGCGUGAAGGAUGAAGUAUUUCGGUAUGUAAACUUCUAUCAGCAGGGAAGAAAAUGACGGUACCUGACUAAGAAGCCCCGGCUAACUACGUGCCAGCAGCCGCGGUAAUACGUAGGGGGCAAGCGUUAUCCGGAUUUACUGGGUGUAAAGGGAGCGUAGACGGCACGGCAAGCCAGAUGUGAAAGCCCGGGGCUCAACCCCGGGACUGCAUUUGGAACUGCUGAGCUAGAGUGUCGGAGAGGCAAGUGGAAUUCCUAGUGUAGCGGUGAAAUGCGUAGAUAUUAGGAGGAACACCAGUGGCGAAGGCGGCUUGCUGGACGAUGACUGACGUUGAGGCUCGAAAGCGUGGGGAGCAAACAGGAUUAGAUACCCUGGUAGUCCACGCCGUAAACGAUGACUGCUAGGUGUCGGGUGGCAAAGCCAUUCGGUGCCGCAGCUAACGCAAUAAGCAGUCCACCUGGGGAGUACGUUCGCAAGAAUGAAACUCAAAGGAAUUGACGGGGGCCCGCACAAGCAGUGGAGUAUGUGGUUUAAUUCGAAGCAACGCGAAGAACCUUACCAGGGCUUGACAUAUAGAUGAAUAUAUAAGAGAUUAUAUAGCUCUUCGGAGCAUCUAUACAGGUGGUGCAUGGUUGUCGUCAGCUCGUGUCGUGAGAUGUUGGGUUAAGUCCCGCAACGAGCGCAACCCCUAUCUUCAGUAGCCAGCAGGUUAAGCUGGGCACUCUGGAGAGACUGCCAGGGAUAACCUGGAGGAAGGUGGGGAUGACGUCAAAUCAUCAUGCCCCUUAUGACCAGGGCUACACACGUGCUACAAUGGCGUAAACAAAGAGAAGCGAACUCGCGAGGGUAAGCAAAUCUCAAAAAUAACGUCUCAGUUCGGAUUGUAGUCUGCAACUCGACUACAUGAAGCUGGAAUCGCUAGUAAUCGCAGAUCAGAAUGCUGCGGUGAAUACGUUCCCGGGUCUUGUACACACCGCCCGUCACACCAUGGGAGUCAGUAACGCCCGAAGUCAGUGACCCAACCGUAAGGAGGGAGCUGCCGAAGGUGGGACCGAUAACUGGGGUG